GAUGAACGCUGGCGGCGUGCCUAAUACAUGCAAGUCGAGCGAACAGACGAGGAGCUUGCUCCUCUGACGUUAGCGGCGGACGGGUGAGUAACACGUGGAUAACCUACCUAUAAGACUGGGAUAACUUCGGGAAACCGGAGCUAAUACCGGAUAAUAUAUUGAACCGCAUGGUUCAAUAGUGAAAGACGGUUUUGCUGUCACUUAUAGAUGGAUCCGCGCCGCAUUAGCUAGUUGGUAAGGUAACGGCUUACCAAGGCAACGAUGCGUAGCCGACCUGAGAGGGUGAUCGGCCACACUGGAACUGAGACACGGUCCAGACUCCUACGGGAGGCAGCCGUAGGGAAUCUUCCGCAAUGGGCGGAAGCCUUACGGAGCAACGCCGCGUGAGUGAUGAAGGUUUUCGGAUCGUAAAACUCUGUUAUUAGGGAAGAACAAAUGUGUAAGUAACUAUGCACGUCUUUACGGUACCUAAUCAGGAAGCCACGGCUAACCACGUG
rnacentral:rRNA from 1 species